rnacentral:rRNA from 1 species
CCUACGGGAGGCAGCAGUGGGGAAUAUUGCACAAUGGGCGCAAGCCUGAUGCAGCCAUGCCGCGUGUGUGAAGAAGGCCUUCGGGUUGUAAAGCACUUUCAGUCAGGAGGAAAGGUUAGUAGUUAAUACCUGCUAGCUGUGACGUUACUGACAGAAGAAGCACCGGCUAACUCCGUGCCAGCAGCCGCGGUAAUACGGAGGGUGCGAGCGUUAAUCGGAAUUACUGGGCGUAAAGCGUACGCAGGCGGUUUGUUAAGCGAGAUGUGAAAGCCCCGGGCUCAACCUGGGAACUGCAUUUCGAACUGGCAAACUAGAGUGUGAUAGAGGGUGGUAGAAUUUCAGGUGUAGCGGUGAAAUGCGUAGAGAUCUGAAGGAAUACCGAUGGCGAAGGCAGCCACCUGGGUCAACACUGACGCUCAUGUACGAAAGCGUGGGGAGCAAACGGGAUUAGAUACCCCGGUAGUCCACGCCGUAAACGAUGUCUACUAGAAGCUCGGAGCCUCGGUUCUGUUUUUCAAAGCUAACGCAUUAAGUAGACCGCCUGGGGAGUACGGCCGCAAGGUUAAAACUCAAAUGACUU